UUGAAACAUUCAUUUACGAAUAAAUAACAAAAAUAAUCCCGAAACAUGGGUAAAUUAAUUCAUUUGCAUAUUUACAAUAUUCACAGCAAAACAAUUUUUACAACCCUAUUUCUACUAUUUACAUUUUAUACAUUUAGAUCACAUUCGAUCUUUCGCUUCGGUGUACCCCUCGCGCAGGCGGGAUUCAUCGGCGGGCAAACUGUCACUCGAUCGAUCAUCGGUGACAGAUCGCGAAACGUCAUUCAUCGGGAAACGAUCAAUCAUCACGACAUAUCGGCAUGAUCAAUGUUUAUGUUUACAUGAUCAUGCAGAUAUUCUGUGGCGAUCGAUUGUUGGUCAUGUUUUCGACGAAAACUGGCCAAAUUUUCAUAGAAAAUAUAGGGUGUAUUGGUGUCUACAACAGGGUAAUGAUUCCCCUUGGAGUGGUUUGUUUUGCUGCCAGAGCAAUAUCUUCUUGAAGAAGAUUUGCCUGCAGAAAACCCACAGAAUCUUGGGAUUACCGUGCUAGCCAUCUUGAUUGACCAAGAUGCACUGCAGAACGAUACUUUCAACGCUUUCUUCGCUUCUUAGAGAUGAUUUCAGCGGUGGAAGAUGGGUGGAAUAUACACACUGAGUUCCGAGGACCUUGACGGAUGACUCCUCGCCAACUCAUGCAUUCCGCUCCCGGUUUCCUGCCUCAUCACCUACUAGCUGGACUCAAAGCAUUUCAAAUAUUUCCCUAGAAUG
rnacentral:lncRNA from 1 species